CAAGACAGAGGCAAGCAGAGAAGGCAUAGCAGCAGCGACCGGCCCUCUGUUUUCAUUUUCCACUUUAGCCAGGGGAUAAACUGGACCCCAGUGGACUCCAACACCAACUCUCUGCUUCCCAGUUACUUUUGAUUUUCUUUCCCUUCUCCUUCUUUCUGUCCCUCUCUGGCAUUCAAAUAGAAGCACAAGAGGACCCACCAGUGGCAACUCUUAGCCUCCUUGCAGGCCACAUUCCCUGCUGACGUGGUCCUUCCUGCAGGAGAGCCCUUCUGUGAUUAUCUAAUAAUAGCCAGGGUGGCUGAGAAUAGAAUCUGGCUCAAGGACUCUGCGCACACCCGGGGCAGAGACACUGAAUCUGUGGGUCAGGGCCUGGCAACAUUCCUUGGAGCCUCCCCUUCUGAGCCCACUCUUUGGGCACCCUUAGGCUUGCCUGCCCCCCUUACAAGGGGCUUUGUCAGCCCUGCCAUCCGCUGUAUUUCAUGUGCUGGUUCCUAGCUAAGGAGAAUUGGGCAGAGCAAACCCUUUCUCUCCCUGGUCUGACAGUUGUGAUCCCGACAGAAUGCGACCUUGUUUGGAGAAGGCGACCUUGUUGGGUUGGCUGUGUUCUGAAACCAGGCUUGGGAGUGUUAUAUAUUUAUUAUAUACAGGCUUAAAUGUACAGACUCAGGCUUAUGCAGAAUAUAUACAGACUCAUAUUUCCUUGGUGGUUAAUUGUAUAUUACCAUGCCUAUAUUCGCUCAAAUACCACUUUAUGUGCAUGCAAAAUUUUGUUAGUCCUCACUAGAUGAGAGUGGGCUCAUGGAGGCACGGGGUGCACUGAGCAGGCCUUCUGUGCCUGCUCUGCUGGAAAUAUGUGCGCACUGGAAUCGGAGUAUGCGGGUUCCAGUAACCAAUGGAUGCCAUAAAGGCUUUCUCAGACCUUAUUGCUUUUGUUGCCCGAGCAGCUGGACUGGGGAAAUACUAAAUCCCUUCUGCUUUCUCUCCACACCUCCUGGCAAACUCUCCCAACUUAGAAAUUAUUUUACAAGGGAGACCAGUUGUCUUGAAAUUGAGUUCUGCGGGAUUCUUUUCACGGGCAUGGUAGGGCUGCAAGCAGUUCUGAGUAGUCAGGGCCCUGGCGCUGGAAGCCUCACUGGAGCAAUGAAGGGAUCAGAGUGGUUAAUAAGGUGGCCUCUGGACAGUGAUCUGGGGCGGCUGCUGGCCAGGGUGCUUGGAGAAGCUUGUGGAAAAGGCAAGCCAGAAGGAGUAGGGAUGCAGUGAAUAUCUGUUUCUCCCCCUGCUUGCCCCAGCCGGCCGCUCACCCCACCCCAGCCCGAUUUGCCUGCAUCCGUGGCGGCAGAUUGGGAGUUCUCUAAGGUCUCCCAAAUACCCAGAUCUGGUUACUGGAUGAACUGCGUUUUAAUCCUCGUCGCUAUCUGAGCCAGGGCAAGACCUGGUCAGGGAGAUGGCUGGUCCGGGCAGCACGGGAGAGGACGCUGGGCCCGCCGCCUGUGGCCUGGAGGACUGAGUAUGGGCUACCGAGGCUGAGAAUUGAUGAGCCUCCUUUCCCAGCCUUUUUCCCUUCCAGAGACACAAAAAGACAGAGCAGAGGGGAAAUAUCAAUGUCAGUGGAAAACCCCAUAAAAGAAAGCAGGGACCAGAGUGGGGCUGGAGGGGUUUUCCGCUACUCUCUGUAGGUGAUCGGGUUCCUCCCAAGACUCUUGUCCAGACAGGCUGCACCAAGAGGUGUGCAGCUUUCUUCCACCUUCCUCCCGCCCUUCAAGGAGGGCAGCCUUAGGCUUUCUGGGCCUUGGUCACCCCAGGCACUGGGGUGACAUUACCCCAGGAUUGUGCCCCUUGCCCAGCCCACGGCCUCUGCCACGGCGCCGCAGCCGCUCCUGUUUAUUGUGUCUGUGAGUUGUUUACUUGUUUUGUCUGCUGCCACCCUGCGUCAGAAACCCGCCAAACCAGCGAACUCGCCCAGGAGAACAAAGUGCAGCGCUAUCCCCGAACUCCCUCCCCUUUCCAGCAACCCCCUCCUGCCCUCACAAGCUCCUGCAUUCUCCUUUUCGGAAGGGAGGAAGCAGAAAUAGCCUUAAAACAGGGCAGCUGUUUAUAGGGUCAGGGGAAUUAUGGGGACACCAUAAACCUCUGGGUGUCCCUGUGGUGGAGAGACUUCUGAGCAGCCCUUCCCUUGCCUAGGUUUUUCUUCUUUCCCCUGGUGACCACUUGGUUAAGAGGGCCACACUCAUUGAGAAAGUUGAGCCCACCCCCAUCAACCCAGUGCCCCACUACCCCACUCCUUUCUGCAGGAGUUUCCCUGAGACACCGGUUGUUGGGUUUUAAAUCAGGGUAAUGCUGGUGGAUUCAUAAAGCUAGAUAUAGCAUGUCAUUCUCCUCCCACACUCCCUCUCCUCAGCCCCCCAAAAUUGCGGUGAAUUUAAGCAAAUCCUACAAAAUUAAAUUGCCCCUUUGCUAAAGAUCCUAUAUGUCUCCAAUCCCGCCAGGUGUAGAGUCAGAUAGUUGGCUUUUGGCCUUUAAUUUUGCUCCUAGCUAUUAAAUUUAAAAGAGUGUCAUUGAAGUAAGUAAUAUUCUCAUUUCUGAAAUUAAUUUUCCCCUCCCAGUCUCUCUCUCUCUCUUUUUGCCAGCACAGAUUAAAUGGUUCUUUCAGAUCUGCAAACAAUAAAGGAUAAAAUUAUUUA
rnacentral:lncRNA from 1 species